AAAUUUGAAUAAUGUUCCUUCCAUCAUUCUGUGUUUCAAAAGGAUCAUUUUCAAUCUGAGUCAAAAUGAUCGUAAACCCAUUGAUAAAGGAGAGCAUUGGCGGCAAACAUCAGCUCGUUCUCUCGCUCAAUCUGUUCAGCUGCAACUUGCAGAGGUCUUAGUGACUGUCGCAUACGCCGAAUACCCUUUUUUUUCCUUGCCAAUCUCACUCUCAUAGCCCUCGGGCGAUGACCCUAUUUGGACAAGCAAUUUUUAAAACUAUAAAAGUUCAAUUUCAGCUGCAAAGCCGAACAACCUUUUGCCCCCCGUGUGGCCAUCCUCCAUCUCAGCCACCAUUCCAAUCUCUCAAUCCCAAUUUUUCCUUCAAGGCCCUAACAACCCAAAUCCAACCAAAUUUUCCUCCCCAACAAAACCCAAAUAUUUCUUCUUCCAAAACCCCGAUAAUUUCUUUCCCCAAGACCCUAACAUACAACUACAACAGGUACUCAAUAGAACCGACAGCAGCCACAGGCAACCUCAGAACCAGAUAGACACCACCGCCUCUGACCAAGUCCCGAAGGGGGUUCGGGAAAGAACCGACCAGGCCGUGAAGCAGGCCUGAAGCGAGCAUAUUGCGUCCGGAAAGGGUGUUACGGCGUGGAACGUUUCGCAGGCAGCCCUUGUGGCGCUGCAGGCUGAUUUAUGGAGCUCGUUGGGAUUGGAUAUGCAGGGGAUUCCAUCUCUUCAAAAGCUUAUAACCAUUGAAGGAAGGGGAUGUAUCAUGAUUUUUUCACAAAUCGGUGAGUAUUGCUCAUAAAUUACAACCUCUAAAGACUAAUGUCUUGGUUGUUGGUUCAAAGGCGCACCGUUGAUAAUUAUGACCUGCAUAGCCUAGGAAUCAAUUACACUUUCAAAAUUUCCUCUUUUGGCAUUAAAAGGUAAAGUUUUUUAUGUAACAUAGUUGAAAUGUUUGUUUUCUAUGCACUCUCCAUAUGAUACGCUGUAAUUUGGUUAUAUAUGAUGUGGUUGGCUUUCUUUUCACCUUUUGUAUGAUGUCCUAUAAUUUGGUUAUAAGGCUUUUUUGGGUAUCAACAUCAUGCAUGUGAACACAUUACCUUAUGAAGUCAACUUUUGACUGCCUAAUUGCAUCUGCUUUUAGAGUUAGUCAAAUGAUCUGAUUUGUUAGUAUAAUACUUACUGAUUGGGAGUAAGUGUUGGAAUUUUAAUUGAAACAUGUGCAUAGAGGAGGAGGGAGGGAGGGGGAGAAUCUUUGUCUACCUAUUUACAUUACUUUCUUUUAAACACUUCCACACGUGCUCUUAGAUAGUAGAACAGAAAGAGACUUAGGUACAGAAGUUGUUAUUUACCUAAGUGCUAAAUUGCAGCAGAAUUUAGUAAAAGCUCCUUGCCUUCUUUCAGUUAUCUUCUUUCUAGCUUUUGGUAACUUGAAGAUCAUGUGCGUAUGACAUAGCAUUGUUUACUUUCAAUUGUAUAUUAAAGCAUACUUCUGUUUUUACCUUUUCCUGGUAAAAAUGUUUCUUGCUACAGUUGAGGCAUUUACCUAAGUGCUAAGUUGCUGCUGGAUUUACUGAAAGCUCCUUUGACCCCUUCAGUUGAGGCACCUUUAUUGAGACACUCUCCUUUAGUGCCUAGGGUGUGCACCUGGAAAGCGAGUAGGCACAAAAAUGCUCAAGUGGUAAGGGUAGGAUGGGUUUUGUAGGAAUCUUAGAUUGAGCCUUAACAGUCUUCAAUGUACCAAAAACGGUAUGCCUCAAUUAAGUGACCCCAUUUUUUUUAAUUGUAUGAGCUGUAUUUUCAAUAUACAUAAAAGGUCUUUGAAUGUGUUUUAACGAGAACAAGGAAAGAUAAUGUUGUCCAUAUGUAACUUCUUCUUGGAGGUAUAAGUGUAGGGACCUUAUAGCUAGAGUUUAAUUUGAUGGUGACUUUUAGUUAAUUAUGAUAAUGCUUUUAGCUUUAUGAUAUAUUAGGGCUAGGAAUUGAGCCAAGUUUCUAAAUGCAUAUACUUCGGGUUUUUCAUCUUUGGUGCCUUGAUGUUGAUACUGCUUGUAUCUAUUGUGAUAUAUUCACUUGGGUGAGUGCCUUGUUUAUGUCUGGUCUUAGUUGGUACAACAGUCCUAGCACCUUCAGUGUGCCAAUGACUGCAUUGACUUUUCAAGUUUGUUUUAUGGAUUCCUAUCUGCUAGCAUCUUUAUUGUGACAAGUUAUUAUGGGAUCUAGGAUAUGAUAAAACUUUCUUUUUCAAUAUUACAGGUGACACCUAUCAGAUAUUGUACAAGUAGAAAGAAUUAAAAGAACAAAUUACAAGGAAGAGAAGGGGUAAGAGCCUGCAAGUUGCAGCUCAACAGAUGGAGCGAGAGAACGAGCUGAUGUUUGCAGCGAAUGACCUCCUUUAUCAAUGGGUUUACGAUAUUGUAUAGAAAAUUAUUCAGAUUUUCUAAGCUUUACCUUGCUUAUAAAAAUCCAAAUUGUGGGA